rfam:Tarsius syrichta, whole genome shotgun sequence
GUACUUUGCUAACUUUCAUAAGACAUAUACUAAAAUUGAGACAAUACAGAGAAGAUUAACAUAGCCUCUGCUCAAGGAUGACACCCGAACUAUUGAAGUACUUUAUAUUUUU